AAAUGGGCGCAAGCCUGAUCCAGCCAUGCCGYGUGGGUGAUGAAGGCCCUAGGGUUGUAAAGCCCUUUCAGCGGGGAAGAUAAUGACGGUACCCGCAGAARAAGCCCCGGAUAACUUUGUGCCAGCAGCCGCGRUAAUACRAAGGGGACUAGCGUUUCUCRGAAWUACUGGGCGUAAAGCGCACGUAGGCGGCUUUAUAARUCGGGGGUGAAAUCCUGGAGCUCAACUCCAGAACUGCRCNMCGAUAGUGGAAAGMUCGAGUCCGGGAGAGGUGAGUGGAACUGCGAGUGUAGAGGUGAAAUUYGUAKAUAUUCGGAAGAACACCAGUGGAGAAGGSGGCUCACUGGCCCGGUAMUGACGCUGAGGUGCGAAAGCGUGGGGAGCAAACAGGAUUAUAUACCCUGKUAU
rnacentral:rRNA from 1 species